AAAAGAAUAUUUCCUGAAAUUUGGGAGGAUGUUCUAUGAGAUUGAGAAUUGUACAUACAUCAGAAGUGAGAAGCUCAGAUAAUAUAAUAGGGUGGAAGGAAAAAGAAAAUGGGGAAAAAAAAGAGAGAAAUUUGUUCACGAUGCGAAAAUCAAUUGAUCAUCUGUAGGAUGAAUUUUAACUUUUAAAUUCCAGCAGUAAAAAAAUUUGGCUUAUCGAGUUUGAUAUGCUUUGGA
rnacentral:misc_RNA from 1 species